rnacentral:lncRNA from 1 species
UCUGAUCAUACAAAAAAGUUCACAUCAUGCAGAUUCUUGGAAAUCAAAUCAAGAGGACAUGUUAUAUAAUAACCAGAUUAUGUUCAUAAUUUCUACAUGCAGGUUAGGCAAAUCUUGCCAUCUUUCUUCAUGUCAAAUCACCACUUGCAAGAGGGUUAAUUGUCAUGUUAAAACAAAGACUACUGAUGCCUCCCCCUCACAUCACAAGAGCUGACUUGGUCAUUCACAACCACAACCAUGUAUGUGUUCUAUGGAUUACAUCGAAGGGGCUACUGGAGUCAUCUCAUGAACCCACAAGGAAGGAAGAAAUCUAAUAGAUUAUGGGAUUAUAUUGUUGGGGUGAGGGUCCUAUCCUUUUCAAUUGGAUUCAUAUCAAUAGAAAUUGAUUGAAAUAGAAAGAUCAAAUGCAAAGAGAUUAUUACUGUUGUUGUCUUGUGAGGUGAACAAGCAGGCACUGGUCACUUUCAGAGGCUUAGCUUCUUUCAACUCUCUAAAUUUCUUCCCCUGGUUUUAUCUGUUAUCCUUAUCAUCUUGAGUAAGGCUUGCUAGCUUCUGCCUUCCAAUCAAUUCCUGCAAGAAAAAAUAUAUAUCAGCCUUGUCAAAUGUGACUUUAAUAUAUAAUUUUUCUAAAGCAUGAAUCAAAGAAGAUUAAGACUUGUGAAUACUUCCUAAACAAAUCCAAAGUACCUUCAUUGAGACAUAUGAGAUAUCUGCCUCCAGAUUCUCCCGAGGAAUCCCGGUGUGCAAUAUCUGCCACAAUCCCUUCACCUACAGUCCUUGCCCAUUUUGAUAGGUCUAUCCUGUAGUCAUGAAGACAAACAUUCACCGAGAGAAGUAUGGUUCUAUGGACAGAACAAGGAUCUAAUCCUGCAAAAUUAACAACAGC